AGUGAACGCUGGCGGUAGGCCUAACACAUGCAAGUCGAACGGCAGCACAGGAGAGCUUGCUCUCUGGGUGGCGAGUGGCGGACGGGUGAGGAAUACAUCGGAAUCUACCUUGUCGUGGGGGAUAACGUAGGGAAACUUACGCUAAUACCGCAUACGACCUUCGGGUGAAAGUGGGGGACCGCAAGGCCUCACGCGAUUAGAUGAGCCGAUGUCGGAUUAGCUAGUUGGCGGGGUAAAAGCCCACCAAGGCGACGAUCCGUAGCUGGUCUGAGAGGAUGAGCAGCCACACUGAAACUGAGACACGGUCCAGACGCCUACGGGAGGCAGCAGCGGGGAAUAUUGGACAAUGGGCGCAAGCCUGAUUCAGCCAUACCGCGUGGGUGAAGAAGGCCUUCGGGUUGUAAAGCCCUUUUGUUGGGAAAGAAAUCUUGCCGGUUAAUACCUGGCGAGGAUGACGGUACCCAAAGAAUAAGCACCGGCUAACUUCGUGCCAGCCGCCGCCGUAACAC
rnacentral:rRNA from 1 species